GUUGCUAACUUGCAGUCACGAAAGUCUUUGGAAUCUUUGUUCCAAGACAACUCAUUUGAAUGCCCUUUAAAGGCUCAGGAAAUAGCCCUGAAAAACAUUUCUUCAAGGCAGGACCCAGGCAAGCGGGCUCCGGUCCACCCCUGGAGCCCUAGACCCCGCAGCUGGCCCAGUGAGACCUGCCUCGAGCCCGCCGUGCAGGUGCACACCGAGCUGUGUCCUUCCCCAUGUGGCGUUAUCCAAUCAGGAAGUCAAGUCACCGCUCUCCAUCGGUUCAGGGUUCCACACUCAAGGGCGUCUGGCCACGUGCUUAACCUGAGCGUCUUACACAGCACACAGAGCGGGACACAAGGCGGCACUCGGCCCCAGCAGCUGAGAACUCAUGCCUACACGAAAACCUGCCCAGAGACGUUUCUAGAAGCUUUGUUCAUCUUUGCCAAACCUUGGAAACGGCCCAGAUGCCCUCCGGUCGGCCAACGGAUACAUAAGCUGUGGCACAACCAGACAAGGGAAUAUUAUUCGGUGCUAAGAAAGAAAUGAGCUAUCAAGUCUUGCAAAGGCAGAGACGAGACAAAUGCGUCUUAUGAAGUGAAAGAAGCCAACCUGGAAAGGCUGGACGCUGAACGACUUCAACUACGGGCAUUCUGGAAACCGAAGAAAGACCCGGGGAGCGGACACCACGGCGAGCUGUGAUGCACAGCUGUGAGCCCGGGCGACGGGGACGCGGCCCGCAGGGACAGCAGUCUAAGGGGUGCACCCUCCCGACGGGGCGUGUUGGUGAUGGGGGGCCGCUCGGGCGACGGGGCAAGGGGGGGCGUGGGACUGUCCCUGCCACUCAACUGUGCU